rnacentral:RNase_P_RNA from 1 species
UGGGGAAGCUGGAGGGCCGCCUUACGACAGGGUCCAGGGAACAGGGUAUAGGGGUGAGUUAAAAGCUAACCCCCGACCCCUCGACCCCUAACCCCUGUUUGUGGGGAGGAACUUCCGAACUCCAUAGAGCACGGUGCCUGCUGAAAAGCAGGGGGUUGUGGUCGUAAGCCCACAGCUACGGAAAGUACCACAGAAAAGAUACCUCCUUACGACAGGGUCCAGGGGACAGGGUAUAGGGGUGAGUUAAAAACUAACCCCUGACCCCUCAGCCCUAACCCCUUUGUAGGGAAAGGGUGAAAAGGCGUACCAUUCAUCCUUGAAGGCAUAGGAAUGGUACGUCCCAAACCUACGACGUUUGGAUGUUUGGGACGAGGUAAGAGCUCACCGCCCUGGUGGCAACACCGGGGGCAUGGCAAACCCCACCGGGAGCAAGGCCAAACAACGGAAGUGUCUGCUCGACACGAUCCGACAGGGGUUAGGGACUAGGGGUUAGGGGCUGGUUGAAUUCGCCAACCCCCAACUACCAAACCCCAAACCCAGUCUGUUGGGAGACUGUAGGUAGGCCGCAUUAGAGAAAUGGUCCUCAUUCUAAGACAGGGGUUAGGGGUUGCCUGCCUG